GCCACUGCUGCCUUCACAUCCUGUUCAGGAUUGUGAAAUUGCUUUUCAUAAUUUGGGUCGGGAGAAAUUAACUUGAGUGGCGCUUGAUUGCCUUAACCCUUUCUGCGAUUCAUUGGCUAAGGGAAUCUUCAUUGACAAUCCAUGAUCUUGGACCUUUCUACGUAGCGAACAACAUUGCCCCCAAGCGUUCUUAACUUGAUGAAGCAUUUCAGUAAAGGUUCAUUCUUCAUAUGAUCUGCAAUGUGUCAAGAUAUGCAGGCGUUGGUGACCCUCUCACAAGAUACCCAAAUUGUUUUUUUUUUUUGUCUUUUGUUUUUUUUCUCUUUUUUUUUUGUAUUUCUUUUUUUUGUUUUUUGUUUUUGACACACACACAACAAUGGAUAUCCAUGAGGGGGACAUUAGGGUAAUUCCUACAACAAUGUACGAUACAUGAUAUUUGCUCCUUUCAUCUUUGACACACCAUUUAAACUUUUCCUCUUUUGAGCCUGCACAGAACAGCGUUCAUUCAUUUGCCCCUUUCAUCUUUGGUUUACACUGUAGUAAUUCACCGAGGGGACAUGUAACAUUCAAGACUCCCUUACUCAUGUAAGAGAUGAAUCAUACAUACGACACCAAUAAACAACAUAGUCUUUUUCUUGUCUUUGGCUCGUAACACUAAUUAAGGGUCCAAUAAACUUUAGCUAGGACAAUCAUGAUUGUAUCCUCGGAGCAAACUUUGUAUUCCGUAAAUGCAUUCAUAGCGGCGUAGUCAACAAGAUCCCUUGUACUAGGAAAAAGCAUGACACCAUAGUCGAUAAGAGCUAGUACAUUCACGUGUUUCCCACUUUUCCUCCUCGGCCAAUCAAUGCAAGAACCACCUUGAGGAAGGUCCCUUGUUAUACCUUUAAGUAAGAAUUCACUCUCCAACUUCAUAGGGGGAACUUUUCAUUAUCCUUGCUAGCUGCAAAUCAGGUAUAUACUGCCCAAGGUGGUAUGAAGUGUUUCCCUUGAGGAAUACAUCUGAGGUCUCGUCAAAUUCUUCUAUUGUUAGCAUCAACUAGAAAUGGGUCAUAGUGUUGGGCUAAAACAAUAAUUGUUAUUAUCUGGACCUCCACCUCUGACAGGGUCAACAAAUUCCCACCCAUUCCUGAAUGCAUUUUUCAAGGUCACCUUUUACAUAUCACUCAAGAGAUAGAUACUGCCCCC
rnacentral:lncRNA from 1 species